rnacentral:rRNA from 1 species
GUCCACGCUGUAAACGAUGAGUGCUAGAUAUCGGGAGAAUUUCUUUCGGUUUCGCAGCUAACGCAUUAAGCACUCCGCCUGGGGAGUACGAUCGCAAGAUUAAAACUCAAAGGAAUUGACGGGGGCUCGCACAAGUGGUGGAGCAUGCGGUUUAAUUCGAUGCUACGCGAAAAACCUUACCAACCCUUGACAUGGUGGUCGUAGCCUAGAGAGAUCUAGGCGUCAGUUCGGCUGGACCACACACAGGUGUUGCAUGGCUGUCGU